rnacentral:rRNA from 1 species
AACGAACGCUGGCGGCAGGCUUAACACAUGCAAGUUGAACGAGAUUUGUGUGGUGCUUGCACCAUAUGAUGAAAGUAGCGCACUGGUGAGUAACACGUGGGAACGUACCUAUGGGUGGGGGAUAACAACUGGAAACGGUUGAUAAUACCGCAUAAGACCUGAGGGUGAAAGAUUUAUUGCCGAUAGAACGGCCCGCGGAAGAUUAGAUAGUUGGUGAGGUAAAGGCCCACCAAGUCUACGAUCUAUAGCUGGUCUGAGAGGACGAUCAGCCACACUGGAACUGAGACACGGUCCAGACUCCUACGGGAGGCAGCAGUGAGGAAUAUUGGGCAAUGGAGGCAACUCUGACCCAGCCAUGCCGCGUGAGUGAAGAAGGUCUUAGGAUUGUAAAGCUCUUUCGGGUAGGACGAUGAUGACGGUACUACCUAAAGAAGCCCCGGCUAACUUCGUG